rnacentral:rRNA from 1 species
CUACGGGGGGCUGCAGUCGAGAAUCUUCCGCAAUGGACGAAAGUCUGACGGAGCGACGCCGCGUGAUUGAUGAAGCAAUUCGUUGUGUAAAGAUCUUUUAUGAGGGAAGAAGUUUAUUGACGGUACCUCAUGAAUAAGGGGCUCCUAAUCUCGUGCCAGCAGGAGCGGUAAUACGAGAGCCCCGAGCGUUAUCCGGAAUUAUUGGGCGUAAAGGGUGCGUAGGUGGUUGUGUUAGUCGUCUGCUAAAUCCUCGGGCUUAACCCGAGAACCUCGGGCGAAACGGCACAACUAGAGAAUGUGAAGGGUAUAGGGAACUCAUGGUGUAGGGGUGAAAUCCGUUGAUAUCAUGGGGAACACCAAAAGCGAAGGCACUAUACUGGCACAUAUCUGACACUCAAGCACGAAAGCGUGGGUAGCGAAUGGGAUUAGAUACCCCCGUAGUC